AGGCUGGUUUUCCAGGCAAAUCCGGAAAAUCAAGGCUGAGGCGUGAUGACGAGGCACUACGGUGCUGAAGCAACAAAUGCCCUGCUUCCAGGAAAAGCCUCUAAGCAUCAGGUAACAUCAAAUCGUACCCCAAACCGACACAGGUGGUCAGGUAGAGAAUACCAAGGCGCUUGAGAGAACUCGGGUGAAGGAACUAGGCAAAAUGGUGCCGUAACUUCGGGAGAAGGCACGCUGAUAUGUAGGUGAAGUCCCUCGCGGAUGGAGCUGAAAUCAGUCGAAGAUACCAGCUGGCUGCAACUGUUUAUUAAAAACACAGCACUGUGCAAACACGAAAGUGGACGUAUACGGUGUGACGCCUGCCCGGUGCCGGAAGGUUAAUUGAUGGGGUCAGCGCAAGCGAAGCUCUUGAUCGAAGCCCCGGUAAACGGCGGCCGUAACUAUAACGGUCCUAAGGUAGCGAAAUUCCUUGUCGGGUAAGUUCCGACCUGCACGAAUGGCGUAAUGAUGGCCAGGCUGUCUCCACCCGAGACUCAGUGAAAUUGAACUCGCUGUGAAGAUGCAGUGUACCCGCGGCAAGACGGAAAGACCCCGUGAACCUUUACUAUAGCUUGACACUGAACAUUGAGCCUUGAUGUGUAGGAUAGGUGGGAGGCUUUGAAGUGUGGACGCCAGUCUGCAUGGAGCCGACCUUGAAAUACCACCCUUUAAUGUUUGAUGUUCUAACGUGGACCCGUGAUCCGGGUUGCGGACAGUGUCUGGUGGGUAGUUUGACUGGGGCGGUCUCCUCCUAAAGAGUAACGGAGGAGCACGAAGGUUGGCUAAUCCUGGUCGGACAUCAGGAGGUUAGUGCAAUGGCAUAAGCCAGCUUGACUGCGAGCGUGACGGCGCGAGCAGGUGCGAAAGCAGGUCAUAGUGAUCCGGUGGUUCUGAAUGGAAGGGCCAUCGCUCAACGGAUAAAAGGUACUCCGGGGAUAACAGGCUGAUACCGCCCAAGAGUUCAUAUCGACGGCGGUGUUUGGCACCUCGAUGUCGGCUCAUCACAUCCUGGGGCUGAAGUAGGUCCCAAGGGUAUGGCUGUUCGCCAUUUAAAGUGGUACGCGAGCUGGGUUUAGAACGUCGUGAGACAGUUCGGUCCCUAUCUGCCGUGGGCGCUGGAGAACUGAGGGGGGCUGCUCCUAGUACGAGAGGACCGGAGUGGACGCAUCACUGGUGUUCGGGUUGUCAUGCCAAUGGCACUGCCCGGUAGCUAAAUGCGGAAGAGAUAAGUGCUGAAAGCAUCUAAGCACGAAACUUGCCCCGAGAUGAGUUCUCCCUGACCCUUUAAGGGUCCUGAAGGAACGUUGAAGACGACGACGUUGAUAGGCCGGGUGUGUAAGCGCAGCGAUGCGUUGAGCUAACCGGUACUAAUGAACCGUGAGGCUUAACCUUACAACGCCGAAGGUGUUU
rnacentral:rRNA from 1 species